GAGUUUGAUUCUGGCUCAGGAUGAACGCUAGCUACAGGCUUAACACAUGCAAGUCGAGGGGCAGCAUGAAUAUUGGCUUGCCAAUAUUUGAUGGCGACCGGCGCACGGGUGAGUAACACGUAUCCAACCUUCCGGUUACUCGGGGAUAGGCUUUCGAAAGAAAGAUUAAUACCCGAUGUUGUGUAUCUUUCUCCUGAUUGAUACGCCAAAGGAUUCCGGUAACCGAUGGGGAUGCGUUCCAUUAGGCAGUUGGCGGGGUAACGGCCCACCAAACCUUCGAUGGAUAGGGGUUCUGAGAGGAAGGUCCCCCACAUUGGAACUGAGACACGGUCCAAACUCCUACGGGAGGCAGCAGUGAGGAAUAUUGGUCAAUGGACGGAAGUCUGAACCAGCCAAGUAGCGUGAAGGAUGACUGCCCUCUGGGUUGUAAACUUAUUUUAUACGGGAAUAACAUGAGGUACGGGUACCUUAUUGCAUGUACCGUUAUGAAUAAGCAUCG
rnacentral:rRNA from 1 species